UACGUAGGUGGCAAGCGUUGUCCGGAAUUAUUGGGCGUAAAGCGCGCGCAGGCGGUCCUUUAAGUCUGAUGUGAAAGCCCACGGCUCAACCGUGGAGGGUCAUUGGAAACUGGGGGACUUGAGUACAGAAGAGAAGAGUGGAAUUCCACGUGUAGCGGUGAAAUGCGUAGAGAUGUGGAGGAACACCAGUGGCGAAGGCGGCAUCCUGGACCGAGAUUGACGCUGAGGCGCGAAAGCCAGGGGAGCAAACGGG
rnacentral:rRNA from 1 species